rnacentral:rRNA from 1 species
AUUGAACGCUGGCGGCAGGCCUAACACAUGCAAGUCGAGCGGAUGAAGGGAGCUUGCUCCUGGAUUCAGCGGCGGACGGGUGAGUAAUGCCUAGGAAUCUGCCUGGUAGUGGGGGAUAACGUCCGGAAACGGGCGCUAAUACCGCAUACGUCCUGAGGGAGAAAGUGGGGGAUCUUCGGACCUCACGCUAUCAGAUGAGCCUAGGUCGGAUUAGCUAGUUGGUGGGGUAAAGGCCUACCAAGGCGACGAUCCGUAACUGGUCUGAGAGGAUGAUCAGUCACACUGGAACUGAGACACGGGCCAGACUCCUACGGGAGGCAGCAGUGGGGAAUAUUGGACAAUGGGCGAGAGCCUGAGCCAGCCAGGCCGCGUGUGUGAAGAAGGUCUUCGGAGUGUAAAGCACUUUAAGUUGGGAGGAAGGGCAGUAAGUUAAUACCUGGCUGUUUGGACGUUACCAACAGAAUAAGCACCGGCUAACUUCGU